AACGAACGCUGGCGGCAGGCCUAACACAUGCAAGUCGAGCGAAGCCUUCGGGCUUAGCGGCGGACGGGUGAGGAACACGUAGGAAUCGGCCCACGAGUGGGGGACAACCUGGGGAAACUCAGGCUAAUACCGCAUACGCUCGCGAGAGGAAAGCGGGGGACCUUCGGGCCUCGCGCUGGUGGACGAGCCUACGUCCGAUUAGCUAGUUGGUGGGGUAACUGCCUGCCAAGGCGACGAUCGGUAGCGGGUCUGAGAGGACGACCCGACACACGGGGACUGAGACACGGCCCAGACUCCUACGGGAGGCAGCAGAGGGGAAUAUUGGACAAUGGGCGCAAGCCUGGUCCAGCAAUGCCGCGUGGGUGAAGACGGCCUGCGGGUUGUAAAGCCCUUUAGGCGGGGAGGAACGGUCGGGUGCCAAUACCACCCGGCGCUGACGUUACCCGCAGAAUAAGCACCGGCUAACUACGUGCCAGCAGCCGCGGUAAUAC
rnacentral:rRNA from 1 species